UGUCACUGUUUUAACAGUUAUUGACAUUGAUAGUUUAUUGAGAAAAAUUAAAGCAACCAUCAGUAAGUUUGUGUUCAGUAGAUUUGGUGAUACCCAUAUAUUUUGUUCAUCCAUGCAGUCUCAUGCAUGAAAUAUUAUUGUUAAUUGACACUCCUGGGCAAAUAGAGGUGUUCACAUGGUCUGCAUCUGGAACCAUCAUAACUGAAGCACUGGCCUCUUCUUUUCCCUGUGUGGUUAUUUAUGUGAUGGACACAUCUCAAAGUGUAAAUCCAGUCACCUUUAUGUCCAACAUGCUCGAUACCUGCAGCAUUCUCUAGACUAAGCUACCUUUCAUAGUCGUCAUGAACAAGGUAAUAAUGAUAAUAAAACUGUCAUGCUAAUUUUAAUGGUGAAUGGCCAAAGCA